AGCGAAAGAGGCCAAACCGGAGUGCGUGCACUCCGGGGUUCGGACCGCAUUUAAGAUUCAGUGAUUCUAGCAGAAAGGUUUGGGAAAGCCUGCCGGAGAGGGUGAAAGCCCCGUAAGCGAAAGGAGAACUGACUGAGCGGGAUCCAGAGUACAUCGAGACACGAGAAACCUUGAUGGAAAGAGCGGGGACCACCCCGUAAGCCUAAAUACUACUUAGUGACCGAUAGCGCAUAGUACUGUGAAGGAAAGGUGAAA
rnacentral:rRNA from 1 species